GACGAACGCUGGCGGCGUGCUUAACACAUGCAAGUCGAACGGAAAGGCCCUGCUUUUGUGGGGUGCUCGAGUGGCGAACGGGUGAGUAACACGUGAGUAACCUGCCCUUGACUUUGGGAUAACUUCAGGAAACUGGGGCUAAUACCGGAUAGGAGCUCCUGCUGCAUGGUGGGGGUUGGAAAGUUUCGGCGGUUGGGGAUGGACUCGCGGCUUAUCAGCUUGUUGGUGGGGUAGUGGCUUACCAAGGCUUUGACGGGUAGCCGGCCUGAGAGGGUGACCGGCAAAAUUGGGACUGAGAUACGGCCAAGACUCCUACGGGAGGAAGAAGUGGGGAAUAUGGCAAAAUGGGCGGAAGCCUGAUGCAGAAACGCCGCGUGCGGGAUGACGGCCUUCGGGUUGUAAACCGCUUUCGCCUGUGACGAAGCGUGAGUGACGGUAAUGGGUAAAGAAGCACCGGCUAACUACGUG
rnacentral:rRNA from 1 species